AAUAAAAAAAACUAGAGGAGAAGGAAGAAGAAUGUGAAUUUGUACUGUUUUAAAAGAAUGUUGCACUAUUAUGGACGUAAGUUGCACUCUUUUAAAUAUAAACUGCACCCUUUAAGAUGAAAGUUAUACUCUUUAAACUAAAGUUGCACUCUUUGAAAGAUAUUUACACUGUUUCUCUUCUUGUUGUACUCUUUAAGAGGAGAUAUUUACACUAUUUCUCCUCAUAUUGCACUAUAUCUCCUCUUGUUGCACUAUUUCUCUUU
rnacentral:lncRNA from 1 species